GGCGAUAGAAGUGAAUAAAGUAACUCCUGCUGUUUGAUGGACUUUACUGUCUCUCUCAUUGCAGAUCAGGACCUGUCACACAUGGAGGAGGAUGAAGCCUACGACUACAAAUUUGUGAAGUGGAUGAUUAAAGAAAAGAAACUGGCAGCCAUUCCCGUCACAGCGUUUGUUGGAGAGGAGUCCAAGAAGCACUUUGAGAAAUAUAUUCGCCUUUGCUUCAUUAAGCAAGACAGCACUCUGGAUGCAGCAGAGGCCAUCUUGAAGAACUGGAGGACAGUUUAAUAUGAUGAAUUGUCUGAAGACUUCAGCUCGAUUUCAGGCAGGAGGAACAAGUCAAACUGAGGGAAUGAGAUAUGACUGUUAACUUAGAAAAGUAAAAUACUAACAGUUGAAGUUCAUACUUUAAUAGCUAAAUGCUCUUCCACAUGUUGACAUACUGUUUGAGAGAAUCCUCAGUCACAGCAGGUCCUGUGUGGGACUGCGUUAUAAAAACAGGUUUAUGCAAGGUGUUCAUUUUGUGUAGUUAUUGUGUUUUCAGCCUUUUUGAUGUGUACUUAGACACUAAUUACAAAGCACUUAGUUGGAUGGUACUGGUUGCGCUGUUUGGACUUUGUCAAACUUGGCCUUAUUUCUCACUGAAAAAAUAAAUCACAAAUAAUGCAUAUUUUGGUUUUUUGAAUAAUAAUUUAAUAAAAACCAACGUGAUAAUAAUA